ensembl:lncRNA
CUACAACAUUCACUAUAAGCUAAAGAUGUUGAACUGCAGCCUUACUCUCCCUACCCAAGCAACCUUGGACCACUGGAUGGAAUCGCAAAGCUUUUGGCAUCACAUGCCAGUGUGUUUUUAAUCCAAUCAUAGUCUCAAAACAAGUUUCUGAGUUCAAAGGCUUUGCAAUCCCCAUCCUUACUUCCAUUGUGCUAUCUCUAUCUCUAUCUCUACCUCUAUCAAGAUUAAGGGUGAGCAGAAGUUAUAUUUCACUUUAUGGUCAUUUGUCUUUAAACAUGCUUAUGUUCAGGGAAUUCAUUCAUUUAUUUUUUUUACAAUUAUGGGCCAGACCCUUUAUUGUAAUAAACUUUCAAGUCUUGCUGAACCCUAAAUUAUGCAUAUUGCUUAUUGCUGAAAGAUUUAACCAUUAUCCACUGUAUGAAGCCCUGCAACCUUUAAAGCACCCAGGUGAGAAGCACGGCCAAGAAAAGCACUGAUGAUGCAAUAGGCAGCUUAAUGUGUAUUGAAUGAAUGAAUGAUUCAGUAGGUGCAUCCCAGUUCAUAUGCUUAUGCCAUUAUAUGCCAUUAUAAAUAUUGUGUUCACACUUAAAAAUUCCAACACAGUAUUUUGGACACUUCAUGUACUCAGUCAUUGCACCUUUAAUUAUGUAAGUGAUGACAAGCAAGUUGUCUAAAUGCCAUACACUAGACACACAGUGCAUAAUUUAAGAGUGUACAAUGUAAUUUGGGACAGCUACUGACAUGUCAUAUUUCUACAUUAAAAUUUCAAUAAUUAAAACAUUAACCUCAUAACAUUAUUGAUGCAAUUGCAAAUGUAUUGCAAUUUACAACUGUAUUGUAAAUGCAAUUAUGCUACCAAUGAGCUUCAUUUAACAGACUAAGUGCAUAAAUACAACUUCUGAUGCAGCUUAUGUGCCACCCAUGCAAUUCAAAGAUGGAGUUUUGUUGAUACUGAUUGCAUUUGAUUGCUAACAACCCUAUUGUGUCAUGUAGGCUCAGGCUCCAUGAGCCUACUCUGAGGAUCCAGAUGGAAAAACAUUUACAUCCCAUCAUUAUAUACACCCCUCAGGAUCACCUUGUCUAUUAGACACAUUACUCAAGGUACAGUAAAUAAUCUCCAUUAUAAAUCAGUGCAUGAUGAUAUAAAAUCACAGUGAUGUUGCUUUGUGUUUUCAGAGGGCAGAAAUAAUUUGUUCCAUACCAUCCUCAUAUCUAUCCUCAUGUGCAAAGGAGGCCAGCAUAAUGUCAAAUCAAGAUCUUAUUUGUGAUCUGUUUGUUUUCAGUCUUAUAGCAUGGCAAAAGCACAACCCUCAGAAUUAAAGGGGAAAAUGCACAAGCAUCUAGAUGUAAUGAAUACUAAAAAAAAGACUAUUUUUUAAUGUAUAAACUAAGUUUUUCCAACUACAGUAAUGUAAAUUUUUUUGCAUGAUUUCAAACAUUUUUGUGAUACACUAUCAUUACUUUCAGGCCUAACCUGAAUACAAAUGAAGCACAGCAAACCUGUUUUAGAUGUACAAGACAAUGUUUUGAACCUCAAAACUAAAGUAUUUAUGUGUUGAAAAUGAUCAAAAUGUAUAGAUUUUCCCCUCUGUUUAAAGGGCAGGUGAUUGAAAAUAAUAUGAACAAAAUGGUUAUAUAGGUAUUAUAAUGUAUUUUGCAUUAUGCCUGAAAUAAAAUUUUGAUCGAAACUGAAUUUAUUUUAUCG